AUACUUACCUGGCAGGGGAGAUACCAUGAUCACGAAGGUGGUUCCCCAGGGUGAGGCUUAUCCAUUGCACUCUGGAUGUGCUGACCACUGCAAUUUCCCCAAAUGUGGGAAACUCAACUGCAUAAUUUGUGGUAGUGGGGGACUGCAUUUGUGCUCUCCCGUA
rnacentral:snRNA from 1 species